GCCUGGCUGGCUCAGUCAGUGGAGCACGUGACCCUUGACCUCACGGUCAUGAGUUCAAGCCCCAUGUUGGGCA
rnacentral:tRNA from 1 species